UUUAGUUUAAUUUUUUCGUUUUUUCAUUUUUGUUAUGUUUAGUUUUUUAAUGCUGUGGGCGCUGGUAGAUGUGUUGCAAAUAAAACUGGGAAUCAAAACCAGAG
rnacentral:ribozyme from 1 species